rnacentral:misc_RNA from 1 species
AAGUCGUAACAAGGUUUCCGUAGGUGAACCUGCGGAAGGAUCAUUAACGAAUGAAGUUGAGCAGGGUUGUUGCUGGCCUCCGGGCAUGUGCACACCUUGUUCUUCCAACCUUCUACACCACUGUGCACUUUCUCAUGGGUUGGGGUUCCGCGCCUUUAAUGGCUGCGUCCCUGCCUGUGUGCCUACACAUACACAUGUUUGUUAUAGAAUGUCUACUGUGCAUGAAUGCAUAUAAUACAACUUUCAGCAACGGAUCUCUUGGCUCUC